rnacentral:lncRNA from 1 species
AAAGAUUCACUCGUACUUGACUCGUCGCCUUCCCUGUCAUUUUGCAGUUGUCAUCAGAGUGAGGUUGACGUAGUACCCCGGACCACCAAUUUGUUGUUUUCUGCAUGGCCGGCGAGACGGCCAGACGGGUAGGAUAUAGGAGUGGACGGUGCCGGAGCAGGAGAGAUUAGAGGCUUCACACCAACAAGAAGCGCCAUGAGCCACCGGAGAGAGGAAGGAGAAGACGGAGGCAGGUGCCCA